rnacentral:rRNA from 1 species
UGGGGAAUUUUGGACAAUGGGCGAAAGCCUGAUCCAGCAAUGCCGCGUGUGUGAAGAAGGCCUUCGGGUUGUAAAGCACUUUUGUCCGGAAAGAAAUCCUUGGCUCUAAUACAGUCGGGGGAUGACGGUACCGGAAGAAUAAGCACCGGCUAACUACGUGCCAGCAGCCGCGGUAAUACGUAGGGUGCAAGCGUUAAUCGGAAUUACUGGGCGUAAAGCGUGCGCAGGCGGUUUGCUAAGACCGAUGUGAAAUCCCCGGGCUCAACCUGGGAACUGCAUUGGUGACUGGCAGGCUAGAGUAUGGCAGAGGGGGGUAGAAUUCCACGUGUAGCAGUGAAAUGCGUAGAGAUGUGGAGGAAUACCGAUGGCGAAGGCAGCCCCCUGGGCCAAAUACUGACGCUCAUGCACGAAAAGCGUGGGGGAGCAAAACAGGAUUAGAUACCCUGGGUAGUCCACGCCCUAAAACGAUGUCAACUAGUUGUUGGGGAUUCAAUUUCCUUAGUAACGUAGCU